GGAUUACCCCUAGCAACAUUGAAUGGUGGAGUGUUGGGUCGAUCUGGCUCGGUAAACGUUCUGUUUACACCUGAGAUUAAAACGAUCAGUCUUUUAAUACACCGUAACUCGAGAUUGUAACAGCAAUAUGGCCGACCGACCCCAGUCUCACCACAGCAGCAGUACGCACGUGUCAGCAGCUGAGUCGGUAGUCCCCCCUCAUCAGCAAUGGUCGGCUUACAGAGGACCAGUUCUGUUCACCGGUCCUAGUGGUUUAACUGACCAAAGAGUGAAUACCAGGGCUGAUUUCCAAAUGGUUGGGAACGGGGACCGAUCACCGGAAGUGACCAGUCAGAUGGGAUACCUAAGCAGGCCUCCACCAGGGACGAAAUUCCCAAAGGCGAAAAACGGUCAAAUCGGUGAAAUAGGGUGGCCGGUAGACACAUUCAAGAUAGUGAAGGGGAUCUAAAAAAAGAAUGCGUCAAUAAGCAUUGUAUAUAAUAUCAGAAUAUCAUAUUAUAACCGAUCUACAUACUUACACGUGCUAGUGAUAUUGACUUGAUGCCAUUUCAGUAUUAUUUUACCUUUAUCUGUUUUAUUCUACCGCUUCAGUAUUAGAUUGUUAGCCUAUAUAAUCAUUGUCACGAAAGAAGUUGAAAUUCUUUUGUAUAAAAUCGUUCAGUUUUA